UGCCAGCCGCCGCGGUAAUACGGAGGGUGCAAGCGUUAAUCGGAAUUACUGGGCGUAAAGAGUACGUAGGCGGCUUUUCAAGUCGGAUGUGAAAGCCCUGAGCUUAACUCAGGAACUGCAUUCGAUACUGGAUCGCUAGAGUAUAUUAGAGGAUAGUGGAAUUUCAAGUGUAGCGGUGAAAUGCGUAGAUAUUACGCAGAACACCAAUUGCGAAGGCAGAUCUCUGGGACAUAACUGACGCUGAGGCACGAAAGCGUGGGGAGCGAACAGGAUUAGAUA
rnacentral:rRNA from 1 species